rnacentral:misc_RNA from 1 species
GUAGAAUCUUCUCUAUGGUGAGAUUGAGCUUGUAAUUGGGUUGUCUUUUUCCUUCAAUCAUCUGGAAGACUAUAAUUGAGUCGAUUUUCAAGAAAAAAUGGCUGAAAUUUCUUUUGACGCAUAAACCCAACCCCUUGAGGGCUGCCAAUGACUUUGCCUCAAAGCUGCCAUGGCUGCUCUUCCAGAUAGUGUGCAAAGGGUCG